UACGUAGGGUGCAAGCGUUUAAUCGGAAUUACUGGGCGUAAAGAGCUCGUAGGUGGUUUGUCGGCGUUGUCCGUGAAAUUCCCUGGCUUAACUGGGGGCGUGCGGGCGAUACGGGCAGACUGGAGUACUGCAGGGGAGACUGGAAUUCCUGGUGUAGCGGUGGAAUGCGCAGAUAUCGAGGAGGAACACCGGUGGCGGAAGGCGGGAUCUCGUGG
rnacentral:rRNA from 1 species